rnacentral:rRNA from 1 species
AGGAAUCUUGCCACAAUGGACGCAAGUCUGAUGGAGCAACGCCGCGUGAGUGAAGAAGGUUUUCGGACCGUAAAGCUCUGUUGUUGGUGAAGAAGGAUAGAGGUAGUAACUGGCCUUUAUUUGACGGUAAUCAACCAGAAAGUCACGGCUAACUACGUGCCAGCAGCCGCGGUAAUACGUAGGUGGCAAGCGUUGUCCGGAUUUAUUGGGCGUAAAGCGAGCGCAGGCGGAAGAAUAAGUCUGAUGUGAAAGCCCUCGGCUUAACCGAGGAAUUGCAUCGGAAACUGUUUUUCUUGAGUGCAGAAGAGGAGAGUAGAACUCCAUGUGUAGCGGUGGAAUGCGUAGAUAUAUGGAAGAAUACCAGUGGCGAAGGCGGCUCUCUGGUCUGCAACUGACGCUGAGGCUCGAAAGCAUGGUAGCGAACAGGAUUAGAUACCCUGGUAGUCCAUGCCGUAAACGAUGAGUGCUAAGUGUUGGGAGGCUUCCGCCUCUCAGUGCUGCAGCUAACGCAUUAAGCACUCCGCCUGGGGGAGUACGACCGCAAGGUUGAAAC